CGGCGAGCGAGAGUAAAUAUUCUAGGUCAGAGGACAAAAGAGCCGCUGUCAGCCAAUCAGCGCUUCUCACGGGGCACUUUGCCACAUUCCGUUCCAUUCCGGUGUCUCCGCGUUCCAUGGACGGUCCCAUUGUUCUGGAGGGGGGGACAACCCUCUUCACCUUGUAUUCCGCUGCUGCGGGUCGAAAAGCGCCGAAGCGACUGGGAGUAGCCCCGGGACAUUACGGCACCAGCCGAUAGGGCUUGCUGCGGGGUCUUGGGAUUCCCGCCGGCGCCGCGUCUCCCGUUCGACUCUCCGCCUCCCCUUGCCGAGCGGAUCGAAUGGAUCCGUCCGGCUGGGUAUAAAAGGCGAGCGCAGCACAUGCUUGGUUUAGACGGCGGGGCAUCGUUGAGUGCGGGUGGAGUGGUGCUGUGUAGUUCUGUACAAAAAAAAGUGGGGGCCACGAACGAAGGGGUGCAAGGGGAAGCCGAGGAGGAACGCACGUUGGUCGUUGUAAAAUAAUAAUUAUUAUAAGAAUAAGAAAGGAAGGCCGAGCUCGGGUCUUUGGAAGGGCGAGUGCAGGGGGGGAAGAGAAGGAAGCCCAGCGGAGGCGCUUGCCCCUUAUCUUGCCAGUAGGGGCGGCAGCCCCCGAAGCCAGCCAGCCACAGCCCGCGUCUUUUCGGUCCCUGUGCCCCCCCCCCCCACACUCCUUUUUUUUCUUUCCCUUUUUUUGCCUUCCCCGUUUUAGGAGGUUUGCCAGCACCGAUCCUGCUCGACCGUUCGAAGAGGCGAUCACGCUUGGAAGGGGGAGUCAUAGGUGCCUUCCCUUGGCCCAGAUCCUCCCGAACAUUUUGCACCCUGAUCGCCUAAUUCGGUCCAGUCUCUCCAUUGGAGAAACUGGUCGAAAGCCUCUCCUCUCUCUUUCUCGGUGCCCACCCCCUUCUUCUCGGCCCCCCUCUGCUCCCCCAGGCUUUCCCGGGGGGUCCUGUUCCGCCAAGGGAUGCUUUGUCCUCCCCUGGCGAGCAGCACCCGGGUCCUCCUCCACGUGAGCAAGCCGGCAGCAUGAGCCUGGCAAAUGAAACCUACGUCUUCAUAAAAGACAUAAAGCCCGGACUGAAAAACUUAAAUGUCGUCUUUAUUGUGCUGGAAAUCGGGCGCGUUACCAAAACCAAAGAUGGGCAUGAGGUGAGGUCAUGCAAGGUUGCCGACAAGACCGGCAGCAUCACCAUCUCGGUGUGGGAUGAACUGGGCAGUCUCAUUCAGCCGGGCGAUAUCAUCCGAUUGACCAAAGGGUAUGCAUCUCUGUGGAAAGGAUGUCUUACGCUUUACACUGGAAGGGGAGGAGAGCUUCAGAAAAUCGGGGAGUUCUGCAUGGUGUACUCAGAGGUGCCUAACUUCAGCGAACCCAACUCUGAGCAUCUUGGGCAGUCCAACAAAGCGGCACAGGGUGAGCAGAGUAAUAACACCCUUCCGUCAACUAAUAUGGGUACUUGUACUUUUGGGCCAACCGGAAAUGGGUUGCCAACGGGACCUGAGCUGAGUGGAUUCUCAACGGCAUAUAACCAUGCCCCCCCCUCCUAUGCAGCUGCUGCACCUGGUGCUCUUAGGCAAUCUAUAUAAUCAAAUGCUGUGCGUACGGACCUUCACGCAGCCUGUAGCCCGUUCCUGCCAAAUUCCCAGUGCAUUGGGCAGAUAUCUGUAUGAAGCCAGGAGAACUUGGAAUAAGGCAACCCAGAAGGAUCAUCUCCUGAUGGAUACAUCUUGCUCUACAGGCAGAAUUGUGUGUUCAGUUGUAGUUCUUUUUUCUGUAGGUCCCAGGAAUAGUUUUGGGACAUGGCCUGUAGUCUCAAGAGUACUGUGUGGUUUCAGAAGAAAAAUGUAACUGACAGCUUGUCUUUGCAGCUUCAGAAAUCUCAUGGAUGAGACAAGAGUCUUGCCAGUUAAGAGUUAAAGGUGAAUUAACUCAA